rnacentral:lncRNA from 1 species
GGAGGGCUACUCUACUCGUGCACAGUUUGAUUUUGUACUCUUGAUCCUGAUAUUUAUUUUCAUUCUAUUUAAUCCUAGCUUGCCAUUUCAACCGAAAGAAUCCAAACUCUUGCCUUUUACCUCGUCUGGUACCAGUGAACUUGCUUUGCAGCAGUUGCGUAAGGGAGCCACUGGUCAGUCCUGAAGGGCACUGCAUUUCGAAUGGACUCCUGCAUUUACUUUGGUAUCUGAUCAAGGAGCAGAAGGUGCUAAAGUUCAUUUCCAUAGAUCUUCUCUGUUCUCAUACCUGGUCUUCCCGACGAUUUGAACAUAUGAAUCUCCUCCGGGAAAGGGAUUCUGACUGGAACUUCCCUAAAGGGGGUGGAAAUCUAAUAACCCACCUCACCUCCAGCCUGGAGGUUGAAUGAUAGGGUACCUAUAUCUCAGUUUGAAGUCAUCAGAGGAAGGGGGAAAAAUACAAACGUUCAAAGGGCCUGCUUGCAUAGUUACAGUUGAGACGACAGACAUUUCUCAACAGGUUCAAAAGAGACAGAUGAGAGUUGAGAAGGCAUUUUCGGGUGCCGUGGAUCCAGUGACCCACCACAGUGCCGGAGGAGCUUACACCCUUUCUCUAGCCACAGCACUCCUCAACUGAUUUUUUUUUUUUUUAAUAUGGUCAUGGUUGUUAACUGCUGCUCUAAGCCUCAACAGAAUCGUGAUAGAAAAUAUAAUACAAACGAUAGUGGGCCCAGGAGCUAGGAAACCUUGAUUCCAAAUUUUGGCUCCACCACUAGCUCAAUGGAUGGUCUUAUUCAAAUUACUCUACUCUUUCCUAAUCCGUCAAAUAAGACAAUAGGACCACUUGGUCUCUAAGGUCCCUCUGUCUCUAACAUUGUUAGUCUGAGAGAAAGGUGCAUCAAUGUCAUUGGUUGACUUUGAGUGUGUCUGAGCCCUUUCAUAGAGACCAAGGUAAGUAGUAGCAUUGCUGCAUUGUGCUCUUGUUAGCUUAAAGAUUGUGUUUCUGGUUCAAGUUGGACCAUGUUUUAGUCCCUUCCAGAAAAGAGAAGUUAGGCAUAGAGAAAACAAAACAAAACAAAACAAACUGAACAUAGCAUCAACUUCCUGAAAGGAAAGACAGAGGGGACCUCCUGUGAGUUUCUUCUUUGUGAUAAUUGCUGUUUUUCUUCUGAGUUACAAGGCAUGGGGAAAAUAACAGAUACUAUGAGUAAAACACCUUAACAUGUUGUAUCUAUUGUUUUCAUAAACCAAAGCAGAGAGAACUCUGUAUGGUUACUGUUCCAAGGUUCCAUGGAUAUCUGAUGUAUUCUUAAUCAUAUCUAGAAACAAGUAGUUUUAAGUCCGUGAUUGUUUUACCAGUAUAAUCAGUGGUUCCAUAUGCCUUUAGAGAAUGUGGUUUCUUUUUUUUUUUAAGAUUUUAUUUAUUCAUGAGAGACACACACAGAGAGAGAGGCAGAGACACAGGCAGAGGGAGAAGCAGGCUCCAUGCAGGGAGCCUGACGUGGGUCUCGAUCCUGGGACUCCAGGAUCACGCCCUGAGCCAGGGGCAGAUGCUCAACCGCUGAGCCACCCAGGCAUCCCGAGAAUGUGGUUUCUUGAUAAUUUUAGCAUUCAUUGAGAUUACUGCCUUGGCAUUUUUUUCUCUUAAUCGACCAGAAUUAAAGAAAUCAAAUUUAAGUUGAACAGCAUCAACCAGGAACCAUUGAUAUAAAAUAAUACAAUAGGAAACUGACAGUUGUGCGAGUUUGGUUGUUGUAGGAAUGCCUAGACUUUGGCUAGAUGGAAACGUUUGUCUAGGACCCAGGUCAUUUGAAAUAAAAUAUUGAGAUCAAUCUAAUUCUCAUUUAAGGUAAUAUCCAGUUAAAAUAAUCUAAGAAGUAUCAUUGAUGAGGAUAAAAGCUAGAACAUUGCAAUAUGGCUGAGUUUAACAAGUCAGCAGAACUUACAGGUGGAUUUGAAAGUUGCUAUGAGCUAAGUGGUAGAAGAAAGAAGUGAAUGGCAACAUUGCCAUGUAAAUGGGUGUUUCUUUCUUCUUUUUCAAAUUAAGAAUAGUCCCCAAAAUUGACAAGCUGACUUUACAUACAGUUUGAGUGAAAAGAAUCUUCCUAUCGUCAGACAAUUCAGGUAAAUUCAUGUGUUCAGUAUUAUGAAGUGUGUGGCAAUUUCCUUCUUUGCAGACAUAUUUAACCACUGGCAGAAAGAAAAAAAAAA